CCCUUAGAUGUUCUGGGCCGCACGCGCGCUACACUGACUACUUCAACGAGUUUUGACGUUGAUCGAAAGGUCUGCGUAAUCUUUGAAAGGUAGUCGUGAUGGGGAUAGAUCCUUGCAAUUUUUGAUCUUCAACGAGGAAUUCCUAGUAAACGCAAGUCAUCAGCUUGCAUUGAUUACGUCCCUGCCCUUUGUACACACCGCCCGUCGCACCUACCGAUUGAAUGGUCCGGUGAAUCUUUAGGACUGUGGCUGUAGCCUUGCUUCGGCGGGCUUGGCCGUGGGAAUUUAGUUAAACCUUACCAUUUAGAGGAAGGUGAAGUCGUAACA
rnacentral:rRNA from 1 species